rnacentral:rRNA from 1 species
GUCUUUUUGAUAUUUUUAUUUAAAGUCUGACCUGCUCACUGAUAUAAUAUUAAAUAGCCGCGGUAUUUUGACCCGGUGCAAAGGUAGCAUAAUCAUUAGUUUUUUAAUUGAAGACUAGAAUGAAUGGUUUAACGAACGAGAAAAACUGUCUCAUUAUAAAAAUAUAAUUUAACUUUUAAGUUAAAAGGCUUAAAUAUUAAAUUUAAGGACGAGAAGACCCUAUAGAACUUAAAUAUAAUAAUAUAUUUAUUUUUAUGAUAUUAUUUUAUUAAAUAUAUUACAUUAUUUUAGUUGGGGUGACUGAUAAAAUAAAUAAACUUUUUAUCUUAUAGAAUUCACUUUUUGGUGUAAAGUUUUUGAUCCAUAAUUAAUGAUUAAAAGAUCUUAAGUUACCUUAGGGAUAACAGCGUAAUUACUUUUAGAGUUCAUAUUGAUAGAGUAGAUUGAGCGACCUCGAUGUUGGAUUAAGAUAAAAUUAAGGUGCAGUAGCUUUAUAUUUAGGUCUUU